rnacentral:lncRNA from 1 species
CUAUAGGAUCCCUGAUGCCUUCUUUUGGCCUAUUAUAGGAUGUUGUCUGCUUCUACCUGCUAAAGUGUUAGAAAGUGGAUAGGUUGUAUGUAUGAAUUUCUAAAUAAUUUUGAAAUAGUAGCGGAAGCAAAUCUAGGUUAAACCCUUUAACUCCACAUGCAAUAGAUCAUAUCUAUUAACUACCUAUGCCCGGAUCUAAAACAUACAUAUAAUCUAAAAAUAAAAUAAAUAUUGAGAUCAGAUCUCAAUAUCUUGUGCGGGUCAAA